GGGAACGUGAGCUGGGUUUAGACCGUCGUG
rnacentral:ncRNA from 3 species